rnacentral:rRNA from 1 species
AUUGAACGCUGGCGGCAGGCCUAACACAUGCAAGUCGAGCGGUAACACAGGGAGCUUGCUCCCGGGUGACGAGCGGCGGACGGGUGAGUAAUGUCUGGGAAACUGCCUGAUGGAGGGGGAUAACUACUGGAAACGGUAGCUAAUACCGCAUAACGUCGCAAGACCAAAGAGGGGGACCUUCGGGCCUCUUGCCAUCAGAUGUGCCCAGAUGGGAUUAGCUAGUAGGUGGGGUAAUGGCUCACCUAGGCGCCGAUCCCUAGCUGGUCUGGGAGGAUGACCAGCCACCCUGGAACUGAGACACGGUCCAGACUCCUACGGGAGGCAGCAGUGGGGAAUAUUGCACAAUGGGCGCAAGCCUGAUGCAGCCAUGCCGCGUGUAUGAAGAAGGCCUUCGGGUUGUAAAGUACUUUCAGCGGGGAGGAAGGUGCUGAGGUUAAUAACCUCAGCAAUUGACGUUACCCGCAGAAGAAGCACCGGCUAACUCCGUGCCAGCCGCCGCGGUAA